rnacentral:rRNA from 1 species
UUAUUGAGAGUUUGAUCCUGGCUCAGGAUGAACGCUGGCGGCAUGCCUAAUACAUGCAAGUCGAACGGAGAAAUCUUACUUGAAGGUGCUUGCACCGGAUUGUUUUAUUUCUUAGUGGCGAACGGGUGAGUAACACGUAGGUAACCUGCCUUUUAGUUGGGAAUAACAUUGGGAAACCAUUGCUAAUACCGAAUAUGAAUAUUGAGGGCAUCCUCGAUAUUUGAAAGGGGCUCUAAAGCCCCGCUAAUAGAUGGACCUGCGGUGCAUUAGCUAGUUGGUGAGAUAACAGCUCACCAAGGCGAGGAUGCGUAGCCGACCUGAGAGGGUGAUCGGCCACAAUGGGACUGAGACACGGCCCAUACUCCUACGGGAGGCAGCAGUAGGGAGUUUUCGGCAAUGGGGGGAACCCUGACCGAGCAA